rnacentral:rRNA from 1 species
CGCGUAGGCGGAUUAGAAAGUUGGGGUGAAAUCCCGGGGCUCAACCCCGGAACUGCCUCCAAAACUACUAGUCUAGAGUUCGAGAGAGGUGAGUGGAAUUCCGAGUGUAGAGGUGAAAUUCGUAGAUAUUCGGAGGAACACCAGUGGCGAAGGCGGCUCACUGGCUCGAUACUGACGCUGAGGUGCGAAAGUGUGGGGAGCAAACA